rnacentral:lncRNA from 1 species
CACCAGGUAACAGGGGCAGGCCAGGAUAAUGCCUGAACCUUUUACUCCCCACAGCGGUUCUCAGGUUAAGUGACAAAAUUGGAAGCCAGACCCUGAUUCCAGCAGUGGCUCCAGCUUUGCCAAAGGUAGGGUGCCCGGACUGAUGCAGCCACAACUGGAGGAAAUAGACACUGCAAGGAUUCAGUGUAGUGUCUGGAGCUGAGGGAUCUGGAUGUGGAUCAACUUGCAAAGGGAUCCUGUAGACAGGCAUGACAGAAAGUGGACAAGAGGACCACCCUGACCCCAGAGACAUGAGGGCCUGUGGUUCACCUUGGAGUAUCAGAAAAUAUGUGACCAUUGGCAGCUGGUUUGUGCAGAAUCCCUGGUUACGCUGAGCCUCGAGGACUGUGACUGUCUUAUGUACCUGUUGCCCGUGGGGCCUGGAAAAGGAAAAAAAUCAUGGGGGUGUUAGAAUAGAAGCAAGACAAUGCAUGCCACAUGCCACACGCUACAUGCCACAUGCCACACGC